AGAGUUUGAUCAUGGCUCAGAACGAACGCUGGCGGCAGGCUUAACACAUGCAAGUCGAACGCACCGCAAGGUGAGUGGCAGACGGGUGAGUAACGCGUGGGAACCUUCCCUUUGGUACGGAAUAACUUCGGGAAACCGAAGCUAAUACCGUAUAAGUCCUUCGGGAGAAAGAUUUAUCGCCAAAGGAUGGGCCCGCGUUGGAUUAGCUAGUUGGUAGGGUAAAGGCCUACCAAGGCAACGAUCCAUAGCUGGUCUGAGAGGAUGAUCAGCCACACUGGGACUGAGACACGGCCCAGACUCCUACGGGAGGCAGCAGUGGGGAAUAUUGGACAAUGGGGGCAACCCUGAUCCAGCCAUGCCGCGUGAGUGAAGAAGGCCUUAGGGUUGUAAAGCUCUUUUGGCGGGGACGAUAAUGACGGUACCCGCAGAAUAAGCCCCGGCUAACUUCGUGCCAGCAGCCGCGGUAAUACGAAGGGGGCUAGCGUUGUUCGGAAUCACUGGGCGUAAAGCGCACGCAGGCGGAUUGAUAAGUCAGGGGUGAAAUCCCGGAGCUCAACUUCGGAAUUGCCUUUGAUACUGUCUAUCUUCGAGUUCGGGAGAGGUUGGCGGAAUUCCUAGUGUAGAGGUGAAAUUCGUAGAUAUUAGGAAGAACACCAGUGGCGAAGGCGGCCAACUGGCCCGAUACUGACGCUCAUGUGCGAAAGCGUGGGGAGCAAACAGGAUUAGAUACCCUAGUAGUCC
rnacentral:rRNA from 1 species